rnacentral:misc_RNA from 1 species
GAUGAAGAACGUAGCGAAAUGCGAUAAGUAAUGUGAAUUGCAGAAUUCAGUGAAUCAUCGAGUCUUUGAACGCACAUUGCGCCCCCUGGUAUUCCGGGGGGCAUGCCUGUCCGAGCGUCAUUGCUGCCCUCAAGCACGGCUUGUGUGUUGGGCCCCGUCCCCUCCCCCGGGGACGGGCCCGAAAGGCAGCGGCGGCACCGCGUCCGAUCCUCGAGCGUAUGGGGCUUUGUCACCCGCUCUGUAGGCCCGGCCGGCGCCAGCCGACACCCACCUUUUAUUUCUAAGGUUGACCUCGGAUCAGGUAGGGAUACCCGCUGAACUUAAGCAUAUCAAUAAGCGGAGGA